UACGGCCGCAUCACAUUGAAACACCUAUUCCCGUACGAUCACCGAAGUUAGGCAAUGUCAAGUUUGGUCAGUACCUAGAUGGGUGACCGCAUGGGAACACCACGC